AGUGGGAGCUUCGGCGCA
rnacentral:snRNA from 1 species